AUGCUCAAAAGUUAUAUUAUAAGGAACAACUCUAGUCCUUACAGCUCCCCUGCUAUCUUAGUUAAGAAAAAGGACAAUACUUGGACGUUGUGCAAUGAUUUCAGGAAGGUCAACUCACACACAAUCAAAAACAAGUACCCCAUACCUGUCAUAGAGGAUUUACUUGAUGAAUUAAAUGGAGCUAGAAUCUUUAGCAAGAUUGACCUGAAAAGUGGAUAUUGCCAAAUCAGGAUGAAAGAAGAGGACGUCCACAAGACUGCUUUUAGUACUCACCUAGGACACUAUGAGUACUUAGUUAUGGCCUUUGGAUCGACCAAUGCACCACAAGACCGCUUUUAG
rnacentral:rRNA from 1 species